GGACGAACCGUGCGAACGUUGUUCGGAAUCACUGGGCUUAAAGGGCGCGUAGGCGGGCUGGAAAGUCCGUGGUGAAAUCCCCCGGCCCAACCGGGGAACGGCCAGGGAUACUUUCGGCCUGGAGGCGGGUAGGGGGCGAGCGGAACUGUGGGUGGAGCGGUGAAAUGCGUUGAGAUCCACAGGAACUCCGGUGGCGAAGGCGGCUCGCUGGACCCGAUCUGACGCUGAGGCGCGAAAGCCAGGGGAGCGAACGGG
rnacentral:rRNA from 1 species